UUUCCUUCCCUGCGAAGGUAAAAACGGCUCGGGAUUUGACCUCUCUCUCGUUUCCUCUCCUGCAUAACCCUCUCCUUCCGCCUCCGCCGCCACACCCUCGGGUUUGAUGCCCACACACGCGACCUCUCUCCCAUGUAACCGGCCGGCAUGAGCGUCGCCAGCGGGAGAGCACGCAGCCCACCCCAACAGCAGCGGGGAGCUGGCCUGCCGCCGCGCGCCGCCGGGGAGGCGACCUGGCGACAGGAUGAGAGGGCACCAUGGUGCGGAAGCACGGCUGGCAGCUCCCGGCCCACACCCCGCAGCUAAAUCGGCAGGCGGCUUCCGGCGGAGGAGUCUCGUGGUGUUCGUGGAGGCUGCGAGGAGGUAGCGAUGGGGAUCGGCUACCGAGCGAGGGCAAGGGCGCCGAUCUCCCAUCUCCUGUUUGUAAUCACCGGUGCGGCCACCAUCGACUGGAUCUUCACCCCCUCAGAAGAUGUGCAAUGAGUUGAUGGGCAGCUAGCCGUUGCAAGAGCAUUCAGAGAUAUGAGCUGCUACUCAUACACAGCUCCUACAAACCUACAGAGCCAUUGUUCUCCUACCUGGGAGCGGAUAGGAAGGAUUUGGGUGCCGGCAACGUGGGGCUGAGAAGAAAGGAGGAUGUGUGAGGACAACUAGUGGGCGUACUACAACCGCAGCUGAUUCGUGUGUGUUGUUUGUUCGAUCCAACCCUUCCGUCUGCAGGGCCUGGCGAAGGGAAUGAAGAUGCACACCCUCGGCCACGACUUUGUCCUCUAGGUACAAAAGUGAGAUAGACUGAAAUUUGAUAAACAUUUGCUGAAUAUAAAGUAUUGCAUGAUUCCUUGUAUUAGCCUCUUUCCAAAUGCUCAGUUUUAUGACAGGAAGAUUUUACAUGGUUCAAAUGUCCUGUCUCCUAGCUAUGACAAGGAUUAUACAUGCCUCCUGUAUGGCAGCUACACUCAUAUAAAUGUCACGGAUGGGAGGGAAGACAAGGAGGGCACAGGAAACAGUCGACGAAACAUGGUUGAAGUUGUUGUUGUUCUGCACCUCAUCCAAACCAUCUCUAGAUGUUGGAAAAGUACAGGCAAAGCGCUCAGCAUCGGUGUGGUCUCUUCGUAUAGUCUCAAGUUGAUGCUAUUAAAGAUAGACUUGAUAAGAAAUACAACACAUGUGAUGGCUUUCAUGUGCGCGUCAAGUCUAUUGAUGGUUUUCAAGGAGAAGAGGACGAUAUAUUAAUACUAUCAACGGUAAUAUCCAAUUGGAAUGGAGUUGUUGAGUUUCUUGCUGAUAACCAAAGAACAAACAUUACAUGGGACAAGGGCAAGGCUCUGGAUUUUCUGAAUGAAUCGUUAGGUACGCAGGCAACAUUCAUAUAUAUUCACUUGCAUCUCAGACCACUGUCGUAAAUUAUUAUGGCACUGGCACUCUGCCUGUUGUUGUGCCUCUCCAGGAUAUACCUAACUGAAGCGAUGACGUCCUGCCGGUGUAUAUUGGCGACGACCGCAUCGACAGGAUCCUGGUGGCCAAGUGCCUCAAGGAGAGCAGCACGUCUUACUCACUCCAGGACCCAGCAGAGCUUUUUCAUGGCCUUUAGACAUUUGAAACGGAGGGAGUAUGAUCCUCCUAUAUUUGCAUGCUUGUAGCUUUGGUCUAUUUUAUGAAUGUGUGUUGCUGCUGUAUCUUAUUUUUCCAACCUAUUGAUCCUGUCACAUGUGCGCCAGGGCAGGCUCUGGUCAGCACUAAGGGAUUUCAGUUAUAAUUUCA